UACGUAGGGAGCAAGCGUUGUUCGGAUUUACUGGGCGUAAAGGGCGCGUAGGCGGCAGAUCAAGUCAGCUGUGAAAUCUCCGAGCUUAACUCGGAACUGUCAGCUGAUACUGUUUUGCUAGAGUGCGGAAGGGGCAAUCGGAAUUCUUGGUGUAGCGGUGAAAUGCGUAGAUAUCAAGAGGAACACCUGAGGUGAAGACGGGCUGCUGGGCCGACACUGACGCUGAGUGCGCGAAAGCCAGGGGAGCAAACGGG
rnacentral:rRNA from 1 species